rnacentral:lncRNA from 1 species
ACGAGACGAAGCUGAAGGGGGUCAUCUACUUCCAGGCCAUCGAGGAAGUGUACUAUGACCACCUGCGCAGCGCAGCCAAGAGUCCGAAUCCAGCCCUCACCUUCUGUGUGAAGACCCAUGACCGGCUGUACUACAUGGUGGCCCCAUCUGCAGAGGCCAUGCGCAUCUGGAUGGAUGUCAUCGUCACGGGAGCUGAGGGCUACACUCAAUUCAUGAACUAACUACCAGGCACCUCCUGGGUCCCCCAGGUCAGCCCCAGGACACCAUGCCCUGCCACUUGCUGCUCUGCUUGUCCCUGGAGACAGAGGCACACUGGGCACGGGCCACAAAGGGUCAGGAUGUAGUUGAGUACCCCAGGGCUUUUGUGCAAGAAAACGAAAUUGUUCUAUGAGGAGUUUGGUGCUUGGGAAUCAGGCUCCGGUCCCUAAAGAGCCAGCAGAGAGGAAAGGAAGAGGGAGGGCCUUGUCGCCUCCUGGGAGUCCAGAAGUGCAGGAUUCCCUCCUGGGUCCAGCAGGCUGAAGAGGCAUAGCUGAGCUGUGACUCUCAGCUCUGUCCUGGUACCCACUUAGCCCAGCUUACUUUCUCUCUGUAAAGGACAAAUUAUGGUACCAGAAUCUGCCAAAGAUCCCCUUUCUCAUCUCAUCCCCUCUACAGGGGUCUGGGGGGUCCUGAGCAGAGCCACGUGUAGAACAGGGGAGAGGCUCAGGCCUGCACUUCCCGCCCCCGGUCUGCCUCCUUCUCCUCCCACCUCCCACUUUUCACUACUUAGCUCAAGGACCAGAGACCUCAAGUGUCAUUCUCGAGGUCCAGCCCCGUAAUCAUGUUACAAGCCCAUCAUCCUUGUCUCCAUGGUGGCUGCUUCCUCACCAUGG